AUGAGGAAUAUGAUUCUGCUGAUUUUGACGCUACACUGCGGUCAAGGUAUCAGUGAUGUUUCACAAGUUCCAAGUGUUUUAAUGGCAGUAAAAGGGAAUGAUGCUCAGUUGAACUGCACACAUAAAAAGGAUUCAACGUUUGUCCAGAUGUACUGGUAUCGACAGCGUCCAGGACAAACUAUGACCCUAAUUGUGUUCACAAGCACUUUGAACAGCAAACAUGACUACGGUGAUUCUGAUCCAAACAAAUUUCCAGCCAUUAAAACUGUUCCAGAGAGCGGAUCUCUGACUGUGAACAAUGUGGAGUCAGAUGAUAGUGCCAUCUAUUUCUGCUCAGUCAGUAAGCACACAGUGCUGUGA